rnacentral:rRNA from 1 species
AAGUUAAUUUAAUGGCCGCGGUAUUUUGACCGUGCAAAGGUAGCAUAAUCAUUAGUUCAUUAAUUGUGGACUUGUAUGAAUGGUUGGACGAAAUAUUGACUGUCUCAUUUAUAUUAUUAGAAUUUAAAUUUUUAGUUAAAAUGCUUAAAUUUAUUUAUUGGACGAGAAGACCCUAUAGAUCUUUAUUAUUUUAUUUAUUUUCUUUUUUGGAUUUAAUUGUUUAAAUGUACUUAAUAAAUUAAAUUGGUUGGUUGGGGUGAUAUUAAGAUAUAAUUAACUCUUAUUUUAUGUUAUAUCAAUUAUUUUUGUAUUGUUGACCUUUUAUUAUUGUUUAGAGAUUUAGAUACCUUAGGGAUAACAGCGUAAUUUUCUUUGAGAGUUCUUAUUGACAGGAAAGAUUGCGACCUCGAUGUUGGAUUAAGAUUAUAUUUAGGUGAAGUAGCUUAAACAUUAAGUCUGUUCGACUUUUAAAAUCUUACAUGAUCUGAGUU